rnacentral:rRNA from 1 species
UACGGGGGGGGCAAGCGUUGUUCGGAAUUACUGGGCGUAAAGGGCUCGUAGGUGGCCAACUAAGUCAGACGUGAAAUCCCUCGGCUUAACCGGGGAACUGCGUCUGAUACUGGAUGGCUUGAGUUUGGGAGAGGGAUGCGGAAUUCCAGGUGUAGCGGUGAAAUGCGUAGAUAUCUGGAGGAACACCGGUGGCGAAGGCGGGUUGCUGGGCUGAUACUGACGCUGAGGCACGAAAGCGUGGGGAGCAAACAGG